CCCGAAAGAUCGAAUGAGGAGACUCAUCGCAAGCGAGGUCGGCUGCCUUGUGGUGCGCGAUGUUCGAGACGUCAUCCUCGUGGUGGCUAUCGCUUACACGCGCCCGCUCGGCACGUUCGGCAGCGUCGGCGUGCACUUCUCCUCUAGUAGAACGUCGCGACCCGCUGGGUGUCGGUCUAAGGCCCGAUGUCGUUGACUGUUCCGUGCGCUUCGGCAAACGGUUGCAGACGCUCGGUGUCCCGAUCGACUGCCCGACGGUAGCAAAGGUGGUAUCGAGCCGCACUCGAAUGCGUUCAGGCUCGUCGCAAGCCGGAUUACUUUCUCGGAGAACGGACCUGGUGCCGUUCCUGGGAGUGAUUGGUUGUUGGCGGCGAAGCUCUCGAACCGGCUUAGAACGUUACACAGAACGAUACCUGUCGGCGGCGCUAUUGCUUUGGGUACUUUCAGGACCCGUCUUGAAACACGGACCAAGGAGUCUAACAUGUGCGCGAGUCAUUGGGAAAUGAAAACCUAAAGGCGUAUUGAAAGAGAAGAUCGGCCUCGCGUCGAUCGAGGGAGGAUGGGCAGGGUCGAGGUGUUGCCCCGCACUCCCGGGGCGUCUCGUUGUCAUUGCGACAUGAGGCGCACCUAGAGCGUACACGUUGGGACCCGAAAGAUGGUGAACUAUGCCUGGUCAGGAUGAAGUCAGGGGAAACUCUGAUGGAGGUCCGUAGCGAUUCUGACGUGCAAAUCGAUCGUCGGAACUGGU
rnacentral:rRNA from 1 species